GACGAACGCUGGCGGCGUGCUUAACACAUGCAAGUCGAACGGUGAAGGGAUCAGCUUGCUGGUUCUGGAUGAGUGGCGAACGGGUGAGUAACACGUGAGUAACCUGCCCCCUUCUUCUGGAUAACCGCAUGAAAGUGUGGCUAAUACGGGAUAUUCUGGGUCUGUCGCAUGAUGGGUCUGGGAAAGAUAUUGUUUCGGUGGGGGAUGGGCUCGCGGCCUAUCAGCUUGUUGGUGGGGUGAUGGCCUACCAAGGCGGUGACGGGUAGCCGGCCUGAGAGGGUGGACGGUCACACUGGGACUGAGACAAGGCCCAGACUCCUACGGGAGGCAGCAGUGGGGAAUAUUGCACAAUGGGCGAAAGCCUGAUGCAGCGACGCCGCGUGAGGGAUGGAGGCCUUCGGGUUGUAAACCUCUUUCGCCAGUGAAGCAGGCCUGCUCCUUGUGGGUGGGUUGACGGUAGCUGGAUAAGAAGCGCCGGCUAACUACGUG
rnacentral:rRNA from 1 species